rnacentral:rRNA from 1 species
AUACGUAGGGAGCGAGCGUUGUCCGGAAUUACUGGGUGUAAAGGGUGCGUAGGCGGGACUGCAAGUCAGAUGUGAAAUGCCGGGGCUCAACCCCAGAGCUGCAUUUGAAACUGUGGUUCUUGAGUGAGGUAGAGGUAAGCGGAAUUCCUAGUGUAGCGGUGAAAUGCGUAGAUAUGCCACAGAACGCCGAUAGCGGAGGCAGCUCGCCAGGCCUGCAUUGACGCUCGGGCACGAAAGCGGGGGGAUCGAACAGGAUUAGAUACCCUGGUAGUCCACGCCGUAAACGAUGGGCGCUCGUCGUCGGCGGCAGACAGUCGGCGGCCAAGCGAAAGCGAUAAGCGCCCCACCUGGGGAGUACGGUCGCAAGGCUGAAACUCAAAGGAAUUGGCGGGG